rnacentral:rRNA from 1 species
GGGUACAUGAGGAAAGCUUGCUUUCCUUGAUGACGACUGGCGCACGGGUGAGUAACGCGUAUCCAACCUUCCCAUAACUACGGGAUAACCCGUUGAAAGACGGCCUAAUACCGUAUGACAUCGUUUGCUGACAUCAAAUAACGAUUAAAGGUUUAGCGGUUAUGGAUGGGGAUGCGUCUGAUUAGCUUGUUGGCGGGGUAACGGCCCACCAAGGCUACGAUCAGUAGGGGUUCUGAGAGGAAGGUCCCCCACAUUGGAACUGAGACACGGUCCAAACUCCUACGGGAGGCAGCAGUGAGGAAUAUUGGUCAAUGGGCGAGAGCCUGAACCAGCCAAGUAGCGUGCAGGAUGACGGCCCUAUGGGUUGUAAACUGCUUUUAUGUGGGGAUAAAGUGCGUGACGUGUCAUGCAUUGCAGGUACCACAUGAAUAAGGACCGGCUAAUUCCGUGCCAGCAGCCGCGGUAAUACGGGAGGUCCGGGCGUUAUCCGGAUUUAUUGGGUUUAAAGGGAGCGUAGGCUGUCUAUUAAGCGUGUUGUGAAAUUUACCGGCUCAACCGGUGGCUUGCAGCGCGAACUGGUCGACUUGAGUAUGCAGGAAGUAGGCGGAAUUCAUGGUGUAGCGGUGAAAUGCUUAGAUAUCAUGACGAACUCCGAUUGCGCAGGCAGCUUACUGUAGCAUAACUGACGCUGAUGCUCGNAAGUGCGGGUAUCAA